AAGCAGGCAGAUUCAAUUUUCUGCCACCGAAUACAUUAGCAUGGGAUAAUGGAAUAGGACCCUGUCCUCCUUUUUUCAGUUGGUUAAUAACAGAGAGGAUCAGGGUAAUGAUUAAUAGGGAUAGUUGGGGGCAUUAAUAUUUAAUUGUCAGAGGUGAAAUUCUUGGAUUUAUGAAAGAUUAACUUCUGCGAAAGCAUCUGCCAAGGAUGUUUUCAUUAAUCAAGAACGAAAGUUAGGGGAUCGAAGACGAUCAGAUACCGUCGUAGUCUUAACCAUAAACGAUGCCGACCAGCGAUUAGGAGACGUUGAAUACAAAACACCUCUAUAUAUAAUUCAGUAUAUGGUCAGUCAAAUGGCUGUGUAUUGUUUGUAUAUAG
rnacentral:rRNA from 1 species